rnacentral:rRNA from 1 species
GACGAACCGAGCGAACGUUAUUCGGAAUCACUGGGCGUAAAGAGCGCGCAGGCGGUCGAUCAAGUCGAGUGUGAAAGCCCCCGGCUCAACUGGGGAGGGUCAUUCGAUACUGAUCGACUCGAAGGCAGGAGAGGGUAGUGGAAUUCCCGGUGUAGUGGUGAAAUGCGUAGAUAUCGGGAGGAACACCAGUGGCGAAGGCGACUACCUGGCCUGUUCUUGACGCUGAGGCGCGAAAGCUAGGGGAGCAAACGGGG